rnacentral:pre_miRNA from 11 species
CACUUCCAGGUCUUUCUUCUCUUUGCUUUCAGCUUCUUUACAGUGUUGCCUUGUGGCAUGGAGUUCAAGCAGCAUUGUACAGGGCUAUCAAAGCGCAGAGAGUCGACUUCAAUGAGCAAC